rnacentral:misc_RNA from 1 species
GAAAUGCGAUAAGUAAUGUGAAUUGCAGAAUUCAGUGAAUCAUCGAAUCUUUGAACGCACAUUGCGCCCGCCAGUAUUCUGGCGGGCAUGCCUGUUCGAGCGUCAUUUCAACCAUCAAGCCCCGCGCUUGUGUUGGGGACCUGCGGCUGCCGCAGGCCCUGAAAACCAGUGGCGGGCUCGCUGUCACACCGGGCGUAGUAGAUUUUAUCUCGCUCAGGGCGUGCUGCGGGUUCCGGCCGUUAAAAAGCCUUUUUUACCCAAAGUUGACCUCGGAUCAGGUAGGAAGACCCGCUGAACUUAAGC